rnacentral:rRNA from 1 species
AUUGAACGCUGGCGGCAGGCCUAACACAUGCAAGUCGAACGGUAACAGGAAGCAGCUUGCUGCUUCGCUGACGAGUGGCGGACGGGUGAGUAAUGUCUGGGAAACUGCCUGAUGGAGGGGGAUAACUACUGGAAACGGUAGCUAAUACCGCAUAACGUCGCAAGACCAAAGAGGGGGACCUUCGGGCCUCUUGCCAUCGGAUGUGCCCAGAUGGGAUUAGCUAGUAGGUGGGGUAACGGCUCACCUAGGCGACGAUCCCUAGCUGGUCUGAGAGGAUGACCAGCCACACUGGAACUGAGACACGGUCCAGAAUCCUACGGGAGGCAGCAGUGGGGAAUAUUGCACAAUGGGCGCAAGCCUGAUGCAGCCAUGCCGCGUGUAUGAAGAAGGCCUUCGGGUUGUAAAGUACUUUCAGCGGGGAGGAAGGCGAUAAGGUUAAUAACCUUGUCGAUUGACGUUACCCGCAGAAGAAGCACCGGCUAACUCCGUGCCAGCCGCCGCGGUAAGAC